GACAGAGGGUGCAAGCGUUGUUCGGAAUUAUUGGGCGUAAAGGGCGCGUAGGCGGCUCUGUAAGUCAGAUGUGAAAGCCCAGGGCUCAACCCUGGAAGUGCAUCUGAUACUGCGGAGCUUGAGUCCUGGAGAGGGUGGUGGAAUUCCUGGUGUAGAGGUGAAAUUCGUAGAUAUCAGGAGGAACACCGGUGGCGAAGGCGGUUCUCUGGGCAUGAUCUGACGCUGAGGAGCGAAAGUGUGGGGAGCGAACAGG
rnacentral:rRNA from 1 species